rnacentral:rRNA from 1 species
UGGGGAAUAUUGGACAAUGGGCGAAAGCCUGAUCCAGCCAUGCCGCGUGUGUGAAGAAGGUCUUCGGAUUGUAAAGCACUUUAAGUUGGGAGGAAGGGCAUUAACCUAAUACGUUAGUGUUUUGACGUUACCGACAGAAUAAGCACCGGCUAACUCUGUGCCAGCAGCCGCGGUAAUACAGAGGGUGCAAGCGUUAAUCGGAAUUACUGGGCGUAAAGCGCGCGUAGGUGGUUUGUUAAGUUGGAUGUGAAAUCCCCGGGCUCAACCUGGGAACUGCAUUCAAAACUGACUGACUAGAGUAUGGUAGAAGGUGGUGGAAUUUCCUGUGUAGCGAUGAAGUGCGUAGAUAUAGGAAGGAACACCAGUGGCGAAGGCGACCACC